rnacentral:rRNA from 1 species
GACGAACGCUGGCGGCGUGCCUAAUACAUGCAAGUCGAACGCAGUUGCGAACGGGUGAGUAACGCGUAGGUAACUACAUAUUAGCGGGGGAUAACUAUUGGAGACGAUAGCUAAUACCGCCUACUAGUAGAUGGACCUGCGUUGUAUUAGCUAGUAGGUAGGGUAAUGGCCUACCUAGGCAACGAUACAUAGCCGACCUGAGAGGGUGAUCAGUCACACUGGAACUGAGACACGGUCCAGAUUCCUACGGGAGGCAGCAGUGGGGAAUAUUGGAAAAUGGGCGAAAGCCUGAUGCAGCCAUGCCGCGUGUGUGAAGAAGGUCUUCGGAUUGUAAAGCACUGUAAGUUGGGAGGCGUUACCGGCAGAAUAAGCACCGGCUAACUUCGUGCCAGCAGCCGCGGUAAUAC